GAUGAACGCUGGCGGCGUGCCUAGUACAUGCAAGUCGAGCGAACGGACGAGAAGCUUGCUUUUCUGAUGUUAGCGGCGGACGGGUGAGUAACACGUGGAUAACCUACCUAUAAGACUGGGAUAACUUCGGGAAACCGGAGCUAAUACCGGAUAAUAUUUUGAACCGCAUGGUUCAUAAGUGAAAGACGGUCUUGCUGUCACUUAUAGAUGGAUCCGCGCUGCAUUAGCUAGUUGGUAAGGUAACGGCUUACCAAGGCAACGAUGCAUAGCCGACCUGAGAGGGUGAUCGGCCACACUGGAACUGAGACACGGUCCAGACUCCUACGGGAGGCAGCAGUAGGGAAUCUUCCGCAAUGGGCGAAAGCCUGACGGAGCAACGCCGCGUGAGUGAUGAAGGCCUUCGGAUCGUAAAACUCUGUUAUUAGGGAAGAACAUAUGUGUAAGUAACUGUGCACAUCUUGACGGUACCUAAUCAGAAAGCCACGGCUAACUACGUG
rnacentral:rRNA from 1 species